GUCGUUGCCGUUGCAGUCCUCUUCUUCCAUGCCGAUGGCCGCAGCCGGCUUCUCCAACAGCAUCUAUUUGCAUGGUUUACCAUUGGGACUCUGGGAGUAUAUGUUGUUCUUCAGCCUCUCGCUCUCCGAUCCCCUGACGAGGCGACGACGCGGCGGGCUCUCGCGAACCUGUUAGGGGAUCGAAGCAGGGUUCGUCAGGCCGCGACGGAGGGUGAGAUUUCGUGCGGAUCGCAUUCCGGAGACGGAGGCUACAACCGCUUGGUCGUUGUCGGGGAUUGGAGAUGCAGUUCUGAGAGGCCGCAGCGGCGGCGAGCUUUCUCUGGACUUUUCUCAUCCUGAUAUCAGGGAUCGAUGCAGCAGUAUACUCACAUUUUGUGGUGUUCAUAUCUCCUGAUCAUUCAUGAUGAUUCUGCCCUGGUAAAUUUGGAGGAUUUUUUACGCCAUUGCCAUCUGAUCUGAGUGAUCAGAGCUUUAUGAAGUAUUUGGAGCAGAAAAUGCAGAAUCAAAUUGUAUAAGGAUAUCAAGGCAUAAUGCGACAUGGAUGAAUCUGAAGUCUGAACUCGCCUGGUUGCAUGCAGGUUCGGCAACAAUGCCCAACAUCUCUGAUUGUCAAUCAAUGGUUCAAGGCACGAUCCUCAUCACAAUGGCACUGAAUAGAUCAAAGGCUACACUAACAAGAAUCCAAGCAUGAUCGCGAUAGCGGGUUCGCGGCAUCCACCAGGGAAAAAUAAAGAGGGAAAAAAUAGCAAAAAAAAAAAAAA